CGCGUCAUAAUUUUUACGUACUUUGCCUAUUAAAAAAAAAAAAAUGGUACUGAUAUUACUCGACGAACUUUCAAUGCGGGUCGCGCAUGACCGUUUGUGUCCUUCGCUGCCUCUAAUACCGGUCGCUUCGAUUGCGUAAGCGAUCGAUCGACUAGUAAACGAGUACAGUAAGCAGUAUAUCGCCGAUACACUCGGUUGUAUUUGCGGCUUACACUGAAAUCAAAACGAUUAUAAACGAUUCAGGUUACGCCGCGAGCGGAUUUCUGCUCUGCGCGGAGCGGCUUGGAAAAAUUCCGAAGCAACGACUCUUCGUUGCGCGACGAGGGUAGGCAGGCGGAAUGACGAUGGUCAGGAAUCACGUCGGCGGGACGAAAUGGCACUCGGUUGGAUCUGCUCCCGCGGAUAAUCGAUAACAGUGAUUAACGGGGCAAAGACGGGGACGGUGAGCCAACUGGAAUACUAAAAGUACGCGCGGUGGAAGCUGAUUGGAUCGAGGAGAACAAGUUACAAAUAUGGCAAAAAGAUCAACAUUAAUACGUUCGCAAACAAACUGGCUAUGGAAUCCACUUGACUGCCGUGAACAGCCGGACGAAAGUUGAAUAUACAAAGAAAGUUAAGUACGCAAGAAGGAGAAUUGAGUUGACAACGUCAGUGAUGUAUGUCGGAAUGACCUCAAAGUCCGUGGGCGCGACCCUCCUGCGAAUAUAUCGAGGCCUUUGGACGACAUUACGGUGUUAUAUGCGCGGUGUGCCACGGAGAGACAUUGAUUUAUAUGAGGCGAGAGUCAACGGGCUCGUGGAACACCUCGACCUUCCUAGAAUAUCCUUCGACAGCGAAUCUGCAGCGAAUUUCCCUGGCAAACCUUUCGAGGAAGCCAGAGUCUUUUUUUCAUAAGAAAUGACAAGUCCACUCAAAUCAACUCAGCCACAUGUUUUUCACUUUAGCCCAUCGGGCGAGAUGGUGGGUGCAUUCUUACGAGGAGUCACGUAUCUCGGAGGUGACCGGAGGGGUGACGAUGGAAGGCGAUAUAUUGGCAUACCUAAACCAAAAAGAAUUUCCAACGUGUACGUAUCCUCGUUCAUCGUGGACUUUGUCCUCUUUUCGCCCUUCUCGUUUUCUUGAGGCGCACGUCUUUCUGUCUAUCUUUGCUCGUCGUUGGUCAGACUUCUCGCCGAUGCAACACACUCAAUUGCGAAUGUCGAGGGUGUGAUAGAUGUCCUUCCAGCGUAGGAAUGCGAGACGAGUUUGAUAGAAAGGAGGAUGACACAUGGCGAAAAUAUCCCCGAUUCCGAAAUACCAUUGAUUUAGAAAACUCAACAUAUACACGCAUUUUUUCGCAAGUUAUUCUUGUGAAAAUCGCAAAA